rnacentral:rRNA from 1 species
AUCUUCGGCAAUGGACGAAAGUCUGACCGAGCGACGCCGCGUGUGGGAUGAAGGUCUUCGGAUUGUAAACCACUGUCGAGGGGGAUUAAGGGCAACUUGAAAGAACCCUGGAGGAAGGGGAGGCUAAGCUCGUGCCAGCAGCCGCGGUAAGACGAGCUCCCCAAACGUUAUUCGGUAUCACUGGGCUUAAAGAGUUCGUAGGCGGCGAAGUAGGUGAGGUGUGAAAGCCCUCGGCUCAACCGAGGAACUGCGCUUCAAACCGCUUUGCUAGAGGGAGAUAGGGGUAAGCGGAACAGAUGGUGGAGCGGUGAAAUGUGUUGAUAUCAUCUGGAACACCGGUGGCGAAAGCGGCUUACUGGGUCUUUUCUGACGCUGAGGAACGAAAGCUAGGGUAGCGAACGGGAUUAGAUACCCCGGUAGUCCUAGCCGUAAACGAUGAGCACUAGUCUGAGGGACUUUCACGGUUUCUCGGACGUAGCGAAAGUGUUAAGUGCUCCGCCUGGGGAGUAUGGUCGCAAGGCUGAAACUCAAAGGAA